rnacentral:rRNA from 1 species
UGUACUGGUCUCACUGAUUCCUCCUUCCUGAUGAGCCGUAAUGCCAUUAAUUUGGUGUUGCGGGGAAUUUGGACUGUUACUUUGAAAAAAUUAGAGUGUUUAAAGCAAGCUAACGCUUGAAUACAUUAGCAUGGAAUAAUGAAAUAGGACGUUCGAUCCUAUUUUGUUGGUUUCUAGGAUUGACGUAAUGAUUAAUAGGGAUAGUUGGGGGCAUUAGUAUUCAAUUGUCAGAGGUGAAAUUCUUGGAUUUAUUGAAGACUAACUACUGCGAAAGCAUUUGCCAAGGAUGUUUUCAUUAAUCAAGAACGAAAGUUAGGGGAUCGAAGACGAUCAGAUACCGUCGUAGUCUUAACCAUAAACUAUGCCGACUAGGGAUCGGAUGAUGUUAAUUUUUUAAUGACUCAUUCGGCGCCUUACG